AGCACAGCCUGGGCCUGCCGCAGCGCGGAGCUCCAAGCGAAGAGCAAGAAGACAGCGACGAAAAGAGAGGGGCAUGGAACUGAAGAAGGCCUCUCUGAGAGCUGCUGCUGCACGUGCAGAGUCCUCCGCAAUGAGCAGCCUUGUGGAGAUGAUGCAGGAGC